rnacentral:misc_RNA from 1 species
AACGCACGAGACCUGCGGACCUGCGGAGGGAUCAUUAAUGAGAAACUGCCCCUCGCGGGUAGAUCUCCCACCCUUUGUAAACUUACCCUUGUUGCUUUGGCAGGCCCGUCUCCGGACCGCCGGCUUCGGCUGGCCAGUGCCUGCCAGAGGAUUCUAAAACUCUGUCUGUCAGUGUUGUCUGAGUCUAUAUACAAUCGUUAAAACUUUCAACAAUGGAUCUCUAGAUCGGAAGAGCACACG